rnacentral:rRNA from 1 species
AGAAUCAACGCUGGCGGCGUGCCUAACACAUGCAAGUCGAACGAGAAAGGGGUAGCAAUACCCUGAGUAAAGUGGCGCACGGGUGAGUAACACGUGACUAACCUACCCUUGAGUGGGGGAUAACUGAGGGAAACCUUAGCUAAUACCGCAUAAUACCCACGGGUCAAAGGAGCAAUUCGCUCGAGGAGGGGGUCGCGGCCGAUUAGUUAGUUGGCGGGGUAAUGGCCCACCAAGACGAUGAUCGGUAU